rnacentral:rRNA from 1 species
UACGAAGGGGGCUAGCGUUGUUCGGAAUUACUGGGCGUAAAGCGCACGUAGGCGGAAUGUUAAGUCAGGGGUGAAAUCCCGGGGCUCAACCCCGGAACUGCCUUUGAUACUGGCAUUCUCGAGUCCGGAAGAGGUGAGUGGAAUUCCGAGUGUAGAGGUGAAAUUCGUAGAUAUUCGGAGGAACACCAGUGGCGUAGGCGGCUCACUGGUCCGGUACUGACGCUGAGGUGCGAAAGCGUGGGGAGCAAACAGG